AUUGAACGCUGGCGGCAGGCCUACCACAUGCAAGUCGAGCGGUAGAGAGAAGCUUGCUUCUCUUGAGAGCGGCGGACGGGUGAGUAAUGCCUAGGAAUCUGCCUGGUAGUGGGGGAUAACGUUCGGAAACGGACGCUAAUACCGCAUACGUCCUACGGGAGAAAGCAGGGGACCUUCGGGCCUUGCGCUAUCAGAUGAGCCUAGGUCGGAUUAGCUAGAUGGUGGGGUAAUGGCUCACCAAGGCGACGAUCCGUAACUGGUCUGAGAGGAUGAUCAGUCACACUGGAACUGAGACACGGUCCAGACUCCUACGGAAGGCAGCAGUGGGGAAUAUUGGACAAUGGGCGAAAGCCUGAUCCAGCCAUGCCGCGUGUUUGAAGAAGGUCUUCGGAUUGUAAAGCACUUUAAGUUGGGAGGAAGGGCAGUAAAUUAAUACUUUGCUGUUUUGACGUUACCGACAGAAUAAGCACCGGCUAACUCUGUGCCAGCCGCCGCAGUAA
rnacentral:rRNA from 1 species